rnacentral:lncRNA from 1 species
CAAGAUUUCCAUGCCAGUGCAAGAUUUCCAUGCCAGUGCAAGAUUCCAAUGCCAGUACCAGUGCAAAUGUCGAUGCCGAUGCCGAACAAACAAACAAAAAAUCCAACCAAAUAUUUUUUUUCCCUUUGCCCGCAUGGGCCUUAAACUAACAGCAAAACAAAAAAAAUCCAAACAAUAAACAAUUUUUUUUUUCCUCUUUUUUUUUUUUUUUUUUUUCAUCCUUCUUCCUUCCUUUUUUUCCUUCUGUGCGAACCACCAACAUCAGUCUUUCUUUUUUUUCCUUUUCUUUUCUCCUUCCCUUCAACCUUUGUUUCUGGGCAUUGGUUUUCACCAGAACAAACAUGCAAAACACGCAUGUCUCAAACAAACAGCCAAUUUUUUUUCCUUUCCUUCUUCCACGCAUACAAACUUAUUCGCAAUGCAGCUGCAAACGGUCGGAUUUGUGCAGGGAUUCAGAUGGUGGUUGUGCAAGGCAGAGACAAAGUUGAUCCAAGUGGUUCUCAGGUCUAGGCUUCAUAAAAAAUCACGAAGGUGGUCGAUCUGGUGCAGAACGGUGCGGGAUGCGGAUCAGGUGUAGAAGUAUAGGACAAGAACAAACGACGAACAAUAUGAACAACGAAUCUAAACUGAAAAAACACAGCGGAAGACGGCAAUCUACAAACAAAUUGAUAUCAAACUGAUACCUAACAAACAGACAAACAAAACUGAUUCAAACAAAUUGACACUAAUCAAGAACAGAUUAAAUCCUGAAGGAUCAAACCUGCUCUGAUACCAAGUUGAAUAUCAGAGUGCGGAACAAAUAAGACUAUAAAAUGAUAAGAAUUUUAUUGAACAAACUGAGAAUGCCGAGACGGCUACAAAACCCUAAGAGACUACAUUGUGACUCACUUACUCUCAAACUAAAUUACAAGCUCUAUUAUAGAGCAAUAAACCUAAGAAACCCUAAUGCGUAAAUGCCAAAAAUACCCUACUACAAAAUCAAAUCAAAUCUCUAAUUAAUUUCCUAAAUAAACCUAAUAAAUUCCAACAGUACGUACAUUAUUUUCCUAGCCUAGAGUAAAAAGUGGUGACGUUAACCCUCAAGUUCAACUUAGCCACCAAAGGAACAAUGCUUAUCAACCUCCCCAACCACCAAGAGAAAAUUUUCAUUAUGACGGAAAUAUAGAUGGUACACCACGUGUUUUUAUAUAAGUGGUGAGAAAUUGUAUUUUUUUUUUAAGUUAUUAACUUUUUAACACACAUAUUUCACCAUUAAUAUAAUGAUACAUAAUGUACCAUUUCGUGUUCUAAUCACACUAAAAAAUCUCUCCAAGCACCAAUUAACUCAUGCUCCGGCAACAUGCAAUGCAAUAAUUCAAGUAACCGAAAGAAAAAAAAUGAAAAUCAAAGCAAACCCUACUUUUUAAGCAAUCUAGGAAAAAUCCAAAUUUUGACUGUGAUCACUCACAAGUACGUAUAUCAGAAAACGACAAGGGCAAAGGUGGCAAACGGAUGGGUGUGUACGUAUCUUUCUUGCUGCCAUUGUUGUUGAGUAUUUAAUAAAUGAGAAAUGACGACUUUUCGAAGCCAAAAAAGGAGGGAACUUCUAUAGUUCCGAUGGCUAAAACACAAAAAGAGAGGACAGGGAAAGGAAUACUUAUAUAUGUUUUCGGUUUAAAGUUUUGAUUGUUAAACAAUUAUUAAAACUAUGAUUGAAAUUUUUUUUCACUUAUUUUAAAUUUGACUCGCAUAGAUAACGAUGACGUAAAAUAUUUGAAUUAGGUUUGAUUCUUAGUUAAUAGUUAUCUCAUUUUGUGACCAAGCUAAAUCCUUAUUCUUUUAAGUACAUUGUUCAUUCCCGCUUAAAAUAAAAUAUUAUUGUAUUAAUAAAUAAAAAAAUAGAAAGAAAAUAAUUUAUCAUUCUCAUUGUUACCCCAGUGAUUGAG